rnacentral:rRNA from 1 species
UGAGCAAUCUGCCCUUCACAUCGGAAUAACCAUUGGAAACGAUGGCUAAUACCGAAUAUGACUUCGGAUCGCAUGAUCUGAAGUGGAAAGCUCCGGCGGUGAAGGAUGAGCUCGCGGCCUAUCAGCUAGUUGGUGUGGGUAAUGGCCCACAAGGCGACGACGGGUAGCCGGCCUGAGAGGGUGACCGGCCACACUGGGACUGAGACACGGCCCAGACUCCGUACGGG